rnacentral:rRNA from 1 species
AACCUCCGCAAUGUGAGAAAUCGCGACGGGGGGAUCCCAAGUGCCAUUCUUAACGGGAUGGCUUUUCUUAAGUGUAAAAAGCUUUUGGAAUAAGAGCUGGGCAAGACCGGUGCCAGCCGCCGCGGUAACACCGGCAGCUCUAGUGGUAGUUGUUUUUAUUGGGCCUAAAGCGUUCGUAGCCGGUUUGAUAAGUCACUGGUGAAAUCCUGUAGCUUAACUGUGGGAAUUGCUGGUGAUACUGUUGAACUUGAGGUCGGGAGAGGUUAGCGGUACUCCCAGGGUAGAGGUGAAAUUUUGUAAUCCUGGGAGGACCACCUGUGGCGAAGGCGGCUAACUGGAACGAACCUGACGGCGAGGGACGAAAGCUAGGGGCGCGAACCGGAUUAGAUACCCGGGUAGUCCUAGCCGUAAACGAUGCGGACUUGGUGUUGGGAUGGCUUUGAGUCGCUCCGGUGCCGAAGGGAAGCUGUUAAGUCCGCCGCCUGGGAAGUACGGUCACAAGACUGAAACUUAAAGGAAUU